UCCCCGCACAAAACGGGUGGGACCCCUAGC
rnacentral:sRNA from 1 species